rnacentral:rRNA from 1 species
CGCUGGCGGCGUGCUUAACACAUGCAAGUCGAACGGGAUCGGCUGGAGCUUGCUCCGGCCGUGAGAGUGGCGAACGGGUGAGUAAUGCGUGACCGACCUGCCCCAUACACCGGAAUAGCUCCUGGAAACGGGUGGUAAUGCCGGAUGCUCCAGUUGGAUGCAUGUCCUUCUGGGAAAGAUUCUAUCGGUAUGGGAUGGGGUCGCGUCCUAUCAGCUUGAUGGCGGGGUAACGGCCCACCAUGGCUUCGACGGGUAGCCGGCCUGAGAGGGCGACCGGCCACAUUGGGACUGAGAUACGGCCCAGACUCCUACGGGAGGCAGCAGUGGGGAAUAUUGCACAAUGGGCGCAAGCCUGAUGCAGCGACGCCGCGUGCGGGAUGACGGCCUUCGGGUUGUAAACCGCUUUUGACUGGGAGCAAGCCUUCGGGGUGAGUGUACCUUUCGAAUAAGCACCGGCUAACUACGUGCCAGCAGCCGCGG